CUACGGGGUGCUGCAGUGGGGAAUAUUGGACAAUGGGGGACACCCUGAUCCAGGAAUGCCGCGUGUGUGAAGAAGGCCUGCGGGUUGUAAAGCACUUUCGGUUGGGAGGACUGCUUCUAGCACUAAUAUUGUUGGAAGUUGACGUUACCUUCAGAAGAAGCACCGGCUAACUCCGUGCCAGCAGCCGCGGUAAUACGGAGGGUGCAGGCGUUAAUCGGAAUUACUGGGCGUAAAGCGCGCGUAGGCGGCUAGAUCAGUCGGGUGUGAAAGCCCCGGGCUUAACCUGGGAACUGCAUCCGAUACUGUCUAGCUUGAGUACAGGAGAGGAGAGUGGAAUUCCACAUGUAGCGGUGAAAUGCGUAGAUAUGUGGAGGAACACCAAUGGCGAAGGCAGCUCUCUGGCCUGAUACUGACGCUGAGGUGCGAAAGCGUGGGGAGCAAACAGGAUUAGAUACCCGUGUAGUC
rnacentral:rRNA from 1 species